AAGAGAUAUCCACAUCUUGAAGCCUGUAUAAAGAAUAGAAGCUGCACGGGCAGCUUUACACACUCCAGCACCAUCUUCCUUCAGGCAGAAUGAAAAUCCUUGUGGCAUUUCUGGUGGUGCUGACCAUCUUUGGGAUACAGUCUCAUGGAUAUGAGGUUUAUAACAUCAUCAGCCCAAACAACAAUGGUGGCAAUCUUCAAGAGACAGUGACGAUUGACAAUGAAAAAAAUAUCGCCAUUGUUAACAUCCAUGCAGGAUCAUGCUCAUCUACCACAAUUUUUGACUAUAAACAUGGCUACAUUGCAUCCAGGGUGUUCUCCCGAAGAGCCUGCUUCAUCCUGAAGAUGGACCAUCAGAACAUCCCUCCUCUGAACAAUCUCCAAAAGUACAUCUACGAGAGACAGGCUCUGAACAACAUGUUCUCCAACAAAUACACCUGGGUCAAGUAUAACCCUCUGCAGUCUCUGAUCACAGACGUGGAUUGGUUCCUGUUUGGGUCACCCAUUGAGAAACUCUGCAAACAUAUCCCCUUGUAUAAGGGUGAAGUGGUUGAAAAAACACGUGAGUACCAAUAAGUCAUUCAUUCACCAGAUGUUUUCUGAAAGCUACUGUGUGCUAGGUGCUCUGUUAGGUGCCCUGUGAAACACAAACAAAAGGGUACAGUACUCAGUUCAGUUUGCUUUGGAUAUUACUUACGUGCCAUGUGUGUAAAUUGUGCUGAAUGUUAGGAAUACAGAAACAAACUGUCUCCAAGGAACACAUAGUCUAGUGAAGAAGCUGAAGAGUAAAAAAAGGAUGGAAUAAAAGAUUCCUGGGUGCCAACGAAAAACUACUGGAUUCUUGUAUACUUUUAUAUGUAAGAAUUUCAAGUGGCACAAAGUCUUCUGGGCACUUAGAAUAACAUCUUUUGAAGAUAAUAAGAAGGAAUUCACUAAGAAAUGCUCUCAGGAUCUAGAAUAGAAUUGGUACAGGAAAGAGGAGGCACUUACAACAGGGAAUAAAAACCCUGAUUCAUCUGGGUAACAUAUGCCACUGUAGAUAUUACUGUCAUUUUUAUACAAAGUUUCUAAAUGUGGCAGAGCAGAGUGAAAGAGGUUGGGCCAACUGAUGAUGAAUACAACAAAGGAAAUUUCUCAGAGUAGUGGAAGGUAGAUAAGGAAGAAUUCAUAUUUAUUGUGUAUCUACUGCCCAGAAAAAAUUUUAAGUACUCAUUCAUAAAGUAGAUAUCUAUGUAGGUAUGCCAUUGACACAGAAUGGCAUAAUAUCACUGGGAUUGAGCCAACAAGCGUUUCCAAAAACUUUUAAAGUUUUAUUUAAGCAAAUGUAUUAUUACUCUAAUAAUUCCAAUAAUAUAUUUCUUAAUGCUCUUUCUUUGAAAAAUUUUCCCCUUUCCAGAUAAAGUUGGUGCUGGAGGCUGUGCAAAGGCUGGGCUCCUGGGCAUCUUGGGAAUUUCAAUCUGUGCAGACAUUUAUGUUUAGAACAAUCAGCUCUCUUGUUUUAUCUUUUCAAAGAAAUACAUCCUUGGUUUAUGCUCAAAAGUCAACUAAAUUCUUUCCCAAUGCCCCAACUUAUUUUGAGAUUCAGUCGGAAAACAUAAAUGCUGUAUUUACAGA